rnacentral:rRNA from 1 species
AUUGAACGCUGGCGGCAGGCCUAACACAUGCAAGUCGAGCGGUUGAGGUAGCUUGCUACCGAUGCAGCGGCGAACGGGUGAGUAAUACAUGGGAAUCUGCCUGGUAGUGGGGGACAACGUUUCGAAAGGAACGCUAAUACCGCAUACGCCCUACGGGGGAACGGGGGGGAUCUUCGGACCUCUCGCUAUCAGAUGAGCCCAUGUCAGAUUAGCUUGUUGGUGAGGUAAAGGCUCACCAAGGCGACGAUCUGUAACUGGUCUGAGAGGAUGACCAGGCACACUGGAACUGAGACACGGUCCAGACUCCUACGGGAGGCAGCAGUGGGGAAUAUUGGACAAUGGGGGCAACCCUGAUCCAGCCAUGCCGCGUGUGUGAAGAAGGCCUUAGGGUUGUAAAGCACUUUCAGUGGGGAGAAAGGUGAUUCACCUAAUACGUGAGUCAAUUGAUGUUACCCACAGAAGAAGCACCGGCUAACUCCGUGCCAGCCGCCGCCGUAACAC